rnacentral:rRNA from 1 species
CCCUUAGAUGUUCUGGGCUGCACACGCGCUACACUGGCAGGUUCAGCGAGCUUCUUGCCCUGAUCUGAGAAGAAUGGGAAACCUUUUCAACACCUGCCGUGCUUGGGAUAGAUGUUUGCAAUUAUUCAUCUUCAACAAGGAUUGCCUUGUAGGCGUGCCUCAUCAGGGCACAUCGAAUACGACCCUGUAUUCUGUACACACCGCCCGUCGCUACUACCGAUUGAAUGAUUUAGUGAGGACUUCGGACUGGGACCGAUGCGGCUUUCGGGCUGCAUCGGUAUUCUGGAAAGAUGUCCAAACUGUAUCAUUUAGAGGAAGUAAAANUCGUANCA